rnacentral:rRNA from 1 species
AUGAAGGUCAAGCGUUUGCUCCCCGACCAACGUGACAGCACAAACUUUUAUGCCAUGUUCCGAGAAAUCGCCGCUGCGCACAUCUCACGCACCGCCACCGGCCUUACAUUUCCCCUGGCACACGUCGUCCCUGAGCAGCACGCCGGCCCUAACUUGGACGGCGCCGCCCUGGAGCUGGAGAUGUCUCCGCAGAGGCGCUACGAGCUGUGUGCCGACUAUGACGCGGAGAUCGACGAAAGCCUCCGAAGGAUGGAAUCGGAGGACGCCGGAGAGCGGCCCUGCCCCGACUACCUCACCAAGCACGGUCAGAUGGACAACUACAAGCGCGCCCUGCUCGUCAGAUGGAUGUAUUUCUUCACCCAACGCUACAACCUCGCCGACGGCACGCUCCACCGCGCCGUCGCCUACGUCGACCGGUUCCUAUCGCCUCCCCCCCUGAUGAUUACUGACGACUACGAGCUCCGCCUCCUCGGCGCCGUCGCCGACGAGGUGGUGGCCAUGGAGACCAAGGUUGUCGCGGCGCUCGACUACAGGAUGGGAGGCCCCACCGCGCACACCUUCGUCGACCACUUCACCCGGAGCGGCGGCGAGGACCCCCGUGACGACAUCGUCAAGUCCCUGGCGCACCACUUGGCGGACCUCACGUUGCUCGACUGCCGCCACCUGCAGUUCCUGCCGUCCACCGUCAUGGCAUCGGCGGUCUUCGUCGCAUGA